rnacentral:rRNA from 1 species
UAAGGAAUAUUGGUCAAUGGACGCAAGUCUGAACCAGCCAUGCCGCGUGAAGGAUGAAGGUCCUCUGGAUUGUAAACUUCUUUUAUCUGGGACGAAAACGGGAUUUUUAUCUCAAUUGACGGUACCAGAGGAAUAAGCACCGGCUAACCCCGUGCCAGCAGCCGCGGUAAUACGGAGGGUGCGAGCGUUAUCCGGAUUUACUGGGUUUAAAGGGUGCGUAGGUGGGCUUAUAAGUCAGUGGUGAAAUCUCCGAGCUUAGCUUGGAAACUGCCGUUGAUACUAUAGGUCUUGAAUUAUCUGGAGGUAAGCGGAAUAUGUCAUGUAGCGGUGAAAUGCGUAGAUAUGACAUAGAACACCAAUUGCGAAGGCAGCUUACUACAUAUAAAUUGACGCUGAGGCACGAAAGCGUGGGGAUCAAACA